UACGUAGGGGGCAAGCGUUGUCCGGAAUCAUUGGGCGUAAAGCGCGUGUAGGCGGCCCGAUAAGUCCGCUGUGAAAGUCCAGGGCUCAACCCUGGAAGGCCGGUGGAAACUGUCGGGCUAGAGUCCGGAAGAGGCGAGUGGAAUUCCCGGUGUAGCGGUGAAAUGCGCAGAUAUCGGGAGGAACACCAAUGGCGAAGGCAGCUCGCUGGGACGGUACUGACGCUGAGACGCGAAAGCGUGGGGAGCAAACAGG
rnacentral:rRNA from 1 species